UACGUAGGUGGCAAGCGUUGUCCGGAUUUAUUGGGUUUAAAGGGUGCGUAGGCGGUCCUAUAAGUCAGUUGUGAAAUACGGCAGCUUAACUGUCGAGGUGCAAUUGAUACUGCAGGACUUGAGUACAGAAGAGGAAAGCGGAAUUCCACGUGUAGCGGUGAAAUGCGUAGAGAUGUGGGAGAACACCAGUGGCGAAGGCGGCUUUCUGGUCUGUAACUGACGCUGAGGCGCGAAAGCGUGGGGAGCAAACAGG
rnacentral:rRNA from 1 species